UGAACUUCUCUCAAGUCCAACACGGAUAUGCCUCCAAGCUAAUGCUAAACCCGGGAUCAAUACCAACCAUCCGGGAGCAGGCCAGUGAGGACACAUCCAAUUUUGAAGCUGCCAGCACCUCACAUGCUACCAGCAGAUUACCUGUGAUGACAGAUUCUGCAUGUCAGACUGACCCACCCAAGUACCGUACUGUUCGUACACAGCUAUCCUCGAGGACUCUUGGUUCACAUCGAAGUACAGCUGUCCAGGCUAAAAUUCCCUGCAGAAGCGUUGGUGUCGAAACACUUCCGUUGGAAGUGCCAGUGCCCUUUUUAACAUCCACCCCCUUAAAGAGACCACCAAAGAGGCCCGUGUGGAUCUUGAAGAGGAAUACGAAGAUCCAUUUGAGGGAAGCUCUUCUUUGGUGUUUUCCGAAGGCCAGGAUGCAACUUAUGAUCCAGCAGAAUCCAUAACAAAUGCUACAGAAACAACAGCCAUGUCAUAAGUUACUGAAAUAUCACUAUGUUGGUCAAGAACAAAACCCCCCCCAGACGAUCAACACAUACAUCGUGUAUGAGACCUGCCUCAUGGAGCUUUUUGAAUCAUGUCCUGUGUGCAAGCGUGUGUGUGAUGUACAAACCAGAAGGAUCGGUACAUUCAUAUCAGUGCAGCAGCUGUGCCCCCAUUGUCAGUUUACAAGAAACUGGAAUAGCCAGCCUGUUCUUGGGAGUACUCCAGUUGGAAACCUGUAGCUAUCAGUUGCAACAUAUGUCAACGGAGCAUCUUUCUACAAACUUUCAAAGGUCUUCAAAGCAAUGAAUAUGCAGCUAUGCAAAUACAACACCUUCCGAAGGCAUGCCAGGAUGUUCAUUGAGCCAGCGAUUGUUUCUUACUGGCAAAAAUCACAGGAAGACAUGCUACAGAAGCUCCAUGCAGAGGAGAAAGUGAUAGUUGGUGGUGAUAUGAGGGCUGACUCCCCAGGCCACUCUGCAAAGUUCGGAAGCUACACUAUGAUGGACCUGAAGAACAACAAAGUCGUUGACCUCCAGUUGGUUCAGAGCAAUGAGGUUGGUGGAAGCUACCACAUGGAGUUAGAGGGCCUGAAAAGGAGUCUGGAGUUGUUAAAGGAACGUGGUGUGACUCUGGACUGUAUUGUCACGGACAGACAUCUGCAAAUUCAGAAAUUCCUAAGGGAAAGCAGCAUCACCCAAUUCUUUGAUGUGUGGCACAUAGAAAAAAGGGAUUUCUAAGCAACUGGAGAAGGCUGCAAAAAAGGACUGCGAAAAACUUCGAGGGUGGGUGAAGAGUAUAAGAAACCACAUAUACUGGACUGCAGCAACCUCCACCACCGGGCCUGAGAGAGUGGCCAAAUGGACUUCCAUCCUGAACCACGUGCAGGAUAUCCACUCUCAUGAUGACCCCCUGUUCCCCAAGUGCCUUCAUCCACUGCGCAUUGCGCAAUACCAAUGGAUGGCUGCAGGAACGCCGGCCUUUCACAAGCUGGAGACAAUUCUCUCAACCAAGAGGAUUUUGAAAGCUGUGGCCAAACUCAGCCCACACCACCAGACUUCAUCUUUGGAGUCAUUCCAUGCCGUCAUCCUGCGCUUUGCUCCAAAGAAU